AUUGAACGCUGGCGGCAGGCCUAACACAUGCAAGUCGAACGAGUGGCGGACGGGUGAGUAAUGUCUGGGAAACUGCCUGAUAGAGGGGGAUAACUACUGGAAACGGUGGCUAAUACCGCAUACUAUCGGAUGUACCCAUAUGGGAUUAGCUAGUAGGUGGGGUAACGGCGCACCAAGGCGACGAUCCCUAGCUGGUCUGAGAGGAUGAUCAGCCACACUGGAACUGAGACACGGACCAGACUCCUACGGGAGGCAGCAGUGGGGAAUAUUGGACAAUGGGCGCAAGCCUGAUGCAGCCAUGCCGCGUGUAUGAAGAAGGCCUUCGGGUUGUAAAGUACUUUCAGCGGGGAGGCGUUACCCGCAGAAGAAGCACCGGCUAACUCCGUGCCAGCAGCCGCGGUAAUAC
rnacentral:rRNA from 1 species